AGGUUAACAGAAUCAGAGAACUUCCAUAGAACAGUAAGAUCAUAGCCACUCACACUGACAGUCCAGAUGUACUUAUUUGGGAUGUUGAAGCACAACCAAAUAGACAUGCUGUCCUAGGAGCAAGCGAGUCUCGCCCUGAUCUGAUAUUAACAUGACAUAAGGAAAUUGUGGAAUUUGCGC